rnacentral:ncRNA from 1 species
CUCAAUAGAUGCGGCGCGAGUAUACUUUCUCAAGGGGAAAGUAUUGAAAAAGGGAAGUCAGUUAAAAUCUGACGCGGUCCCGCCACUGUGAUAGUGAGCGGCCUUACAUAGUGUCACUGGGUAAAACCGGGAAGACGUAAGGCAGCGAUGAACUUAAGCCAGGAGACCUGCUCGCUCCGGAACAGCACAG